rnacentral:rRNA from 1 species
UACGUAGGGUGCAAGCGUUAAUCGGAAUUACUGGGCGUAAAGCGUGCGCAGGCGGCUUUGCAAGUCAGAUGUGAAAUCCCCGGGCUUAACCUGGGAACUGCAUUUGUGACUGCAUGGCUGGAGUGCGGCAGAGGGGAAUGGAAUUCCGCGUGUAGCAGUGAAAUGCGUAGAUAUGCGGAGGAACACCGAUGGCGAAGGCAAUCCCCUGGGCCUGCACUGACGCUCAUGCACGAAAGCGUGGGGAGCAAACAGG